GGAUGGGUGUCAUGUGCUGUCCAUGCAGCCAGGAAAGUCAGUAGAGGGGCUGGGUCUGGGGCAAGGAGGAGGAGCCCAGCUUUGACCUGUUGAGCAUGAGGUGAUGGAGAGGCCAGGCUGAUGGGUCCAGGUACGACCGCUCAUCUUCCCUGUGCUCUCUCCAUCUGGGCCCUGCCUGAGUUUCCUUUCUUGGUAACUUGGAAUCAUCUCUUCCAGAUCCUGGCAGCUGUCUCCUCUGGAUCUGGUGUCAUCUCUGACUUCCUGACUUGCCCUCAUAAUUCUUUCUGGUUCCCAGUGAGAAUAGGCGAUGGAAUGGAAAGGGCAUCCAGCCUGGAGUCAAAGCAUGGCUGUAUCAAUCCAGAGCACUUUGGGGGCCAGAGCAUUCACUGGCUUGCAGUUUCCUCUGCUUUUCAGGCCUCUGCUCAAAAGUCAACUUCAUGGAGAGGACCUCUCUGACAUGUUAAGUAAAGUAGACCUCAUACCGCUACUCUCACACUUACCUUGCUUUAUUUUUCUCCAAGCCUGUUAUUACCUUCUGACAUUUAAAGAUGCAUGCACAAGCUGCCAGAGGUCUACAAAUAGAGAGCCAACUCAUAUGGGGUUGGGAAUGGCUUCUAGAAGAAGGGGAUACACAAACUGGCACUUGAAGUUCAAUAUGAAGACAGAAGAAAGCUUACUGAGAUUUCUGGAGAGGAAGGGUGGAGUGGAAGUUUGAGGAUGACUCUUAUUUGUUACUUGGCCACCCAACCACUUCUAAUCAUGUAUGGCACUCAAUCCAUCAGUAGCACUCUGAGUGAGAAAUGACUGUGGACUAACACUUCAGACCCUUCCAAAUGGAGUAUCUUAGAGACCAGUCAGCAUCUCACUUUGCCAGUAUGGGCUUCCUCACGGUAAGUAUCUGGGAAGUUACCAUACAAAAUGAUUUGUUUCAUGUCUGCAUUGAGCACCCUUAGCAGAUGAUCUCUUUAUUACCUCGUUUGGGUAAUUUCCAGACCCAAGGAGGAAGGUGGGGGAAAGAUGACACCACUCCUCUCAACACCAAGAAAAAUGAUGUACUCUACAUUUAAACUAUCUGGCGUUCUGCUUAUUUAUUUUUGAAUGGAUGAUCUACAAUUAGAUUAAAUUUGUCAUCCACCUAGAAAGUUGAUGAAAGCUUCUUCAAUAUCUCUUGGUAUAUCGUGUAUAUUUAAAGCAUCUGAAAAUGGUUUCAGGAAAACUAGAGCCCAAGGCAUAUAAAAGACACCCUUCUUGAGAUAAACACCGAAAAGGUUGAGGGGUAAUUGAGAAUGAUCUAUACUGUGAUCACAUUCAUUGUUUCAUUUCACAUCUGGCAGCUCAGCAUUCAGGUGCUAAUAUGGUUUGGCUGUGUCCCCACCUAAAAUCUCGUCUAGAAUUGUAAUCUUCAUAAUCCCCAGGUGUCAUGGGAAAGACCAGGUGGAAGUAAUUGAAUCAUGGGGGCAGUUUCCCUCAUUGUGUUCUCAUAAUAGUGAGUGAGUUCUCACGAGAUCUGAUGGUUUGAUAAAUGUGUGGUAGUUCCUUCAGCGUUCAUUCUCUCUCCUGUUACCUUGGAAGAAGGUACUUGCCUCCCCUUUCCCUUCUGCCGUGGCUGUAAGUUUCCUGAGGCCUCCCCAGCCAUAGAGAACUGUGAGUCAAGCAAACCUUUUUCCUUUAUAAAUUACCCAGUCUUGGAAAGUUCUUUAUAGCAGCGUGAGAAUGGAGUGAUACAGGUGCUUACUUAUUCUUGGCUACCUAGGCCUCACGUAGGUGAUGGUGCCGUUUGGUAAGUGGUAAAGACCAGAUUAUAGCCUUAUGGUUUGACCAACCAACUGUAUAUACUUAAGGGUGCCAUUGUAAACUUACUAGAAAAUUAGCAUGUUUCUCCAAGUAAGCAUGCUUCAACAGGAGGGGGAGGAGGAAUUACAGCAAUUGUAGAUAACACUGGAAAAUAAAUCCCUUCAAAAAACAAUUUUAUUUUUUAUUUUUUUAAGAGAUAGUCUCACUCAGUUGUCCAGGCUGAAGUGCAGUGGCACAGUCAUAGUUCACUGCAGCCAUGAACUCCUGGGCUCAAGUGAUCCUCCCACCUCAGCUUCUCAAGUGGCUAGGAUAAUAGGUGCAUGCCACCAUUCCUAGGUACUUUAAUUUAAUUUUUUUUUUUUUUGGCAGAGAUGGUGUCUCACUAUUUUGCCCAGGCUGGUUUGAAACUCCUGGCCUCAAGUGACCCUUCUAAGGCCUCCCAAAUUGCUAGGAUUAUAGGCAUGAGACACUGCAGCCAGCCACAAAUUUUUAAAGAAUACAAAUAUUUCAACAAGAUUUGGUGCCCUUCAUUGAUGACUACCUGCUAUUAAUCACUGCUUAACUGCCUCCCGAUAUUUUCUCAGGCUUUUGUACAUGUUUUAUUUUCCCCAUUUCUCCUUUUAAAAAUGUUAAAUCCCUGUUUUUUAAUUGACAGAUAAAUAAUAUACAGUGAGAUGCACAGAUCUUAAGAGUCAAAUUUAAUGAGUUUUCACAAAUGCAUGCAGCUGCAUAACCCACAUCCCUGUCAAGACACAAAACAUUUCCUUCAUCCCUGAAAUAUUCCUCCUGCCUCUUCUAAUCCAUUUCCAUUCUGUCCCCAUCCCCCUGGCCCUCAGGAAAACGCUGCUCUAAUUUCUUUCAAUAGAAAUUAAUUUUGCCUGUUCUAGCACUCCAUAUAAAUUGAAUUGUACAGGAUGUAUUCUUUUGUAUCUGGCUUUUUUUCAACACAAUGUCUUGAGGUUCAUUCCUGUUGUUGCACGUGUAAGUGUUUCAUUCCUGUUUACUGAGAAUUCUUUUGUGUGUUUAUAACUCAGUUGUUUAUUCACUUGUUGAAGGACAUUUGGGUUAUUUCCAGUUUUCGGCUAUUAUAAAUAAGGCUGCUGUGAAUAUUCUUUUUGCGCCUGUAUGUUUUCAUUUCUCUUGGGUAGAUACAUAGCAGUGGAAUUGCUGGGUUAUAGGGUGUUGUGGGAAACUGCUAGACAGAUGUCCAAAGUAGUUAGAGUUUUACACUGUUAACGUUAAUGUAGGAGAGUUCCUAUUGUUCCACAUCCUUACCAACUGUGGGCGUUGUUAGGCUUUCAAAUGUCAAACAUUUCAGUGUGUCUGUAUAGGAUUAUAUCUCAUUUUUGUUUAACUUGCAUUUCCCUGAUACUAGGGCUACUGAGUCCCCUUUUCAUGUUCUUUUUGGCCAUUCAUAUAACUUCUUUUGUGAACUGCCUUUUCAAGUCUUUUUACUCAUUUAAAGAAUUGAGUUUUUCUGGAUAACUGUAUGUAGAAGAAUGAAUCUGGAUUCCUGUCUCUCACCAUAUAUUAAAAUUGACUCGAGAUGGAUUAAAGAUUUAAAUCUAAGACCGAAACCAUAAAAAUUCUAGAAGCAAACCUAGGAAAAACUCUGCUGGACAUUGGUGUAGGCAAAGAACUUAUGACUAAGACCCUAAAGACAUGCAACAAAAAACAGAAAUAAAUCAAUGGCAACUGAUUGAACUACAAAGCUUCUGCAUGGCAGAAGAAAUAAUCAGAAUAAACAGCCCACAGAAAAUGGGAGAAAAUAUUUGCAAACUAUUCAUCUGAUAAAGGACUAAUAUCCGGAAUCUACAAGGAACUCAAAUCAGCAAGGAAAAAAAAAUCCCAUCAAAAAGUGGGAAAAUAACAUGAAUAGAUACUUCUCAAAAGAAGAUAUACAAAUGGCCAAUAAACAUAUUUGAAAAAAAUGCUCUUAUCACUAAUUAUCAGGGAAAUGCAUAUAAAACCAUAAUGAGAUGGUCACCUUAUCCCAGCCAGAAUAGCCAUUAUUUAAAAAGUCAAACAACAGAUAUUGGCAUGGAUGUGGUGAAAAGGGAAUACUUUGUGCACUGCUGGUGGGAAUGUGAAUUAGUAUAACCUCUAUGAAAAAUGAUGUGGAGAUUUCUCAGGUAACUAAAAGUAGACCUACCAUUCAAUACAGCAAUCCUACUACUGGGUAUCUACCCAAAAGUAAAGAAGUCAUUAUAUAAAAAAAGAUACCUGCAGAUAUAUGUUUAUUGCAGCACAAUUCACAAUUUCAAAGAUAUGGAAUCAACGUAAGUACUCAUCAACCAAAGAGUGGAUAAAGAAAAUGUGGUAUGUAUACACCGUGGAGUACUACUUAGCCAUAAAAAGGAAGGAAAUAACAUAUUUUACAGCAAUUUGGAUGGAACUAGGGGCCUUUAUUCUAAAUGAAGUAACUCAGGAAUGGAAAACCAAAUACCAUACAUUUGACUUAUAAGUAGGAGCUAAGAUAUGGGUAUGCAAAGGUAUACAGAGUGGUAUAAUGGACAUUGUAGACUCAAAAGAGGGGAGGAUGGGGGUUGGGGAUAAAACACUAUAUAUUGCAUACUAUGUACAGUACUUGGGAUGACAGGUGCGCUAAAAUCUCAGACUUCGUCAUUGUGUAUUUUGUUCAUGUAACGAAAAACCACUUGUACUACAAAAGCUAUUGAAUUUUAAAAAAUCAGUUUUCCCUAAAAAAAGAAUUUUUAAGUAAAAAUGAUUGAAGUUUGAGAAAUUGUUUAUAUAUUUGGUUAAGGGCUUGUCAG
rnacentral:lncRNA from 1 species